CGGAAAUAAUAAUGAAACAUUACUAAUUUUUCUAAUAAUUAUAGUGUUAAUAAUUCUUAUAGUUGUAUGUUUAUAUAUUUGUUACAAAGUAAGAUAUAGUAAAAAAAUUAAAAAAAAGUUGUGUUUUUUUUUUUUUUUUUUUUUUUUAGUAUUUUUUUCCUAUCUUGAAAUAUUUUAUAUUGGAUAAAAUAACAAUUGCAUGUAUUUUCGUUAAAUUAUUUAUUUAGGAACAGCACGUAUUAAGAAAAAUAUGUCGUAACAGAAGAAAUAGUACUAAAUCUGUACCAGGUGCCAGUGUAAGAAUGUCUGAGUUAAAGGAUAAUUUGCAAGAUGAGGUUGAUCUGUUUACGAAAGGCACAUCCGGUGGAAGGACAAAUUUAGGAUUUGAAGGAGACGAAGCUGAUGGAAAUAAUGAAAAUGACUAUACUGGACAAUCGAGUGAUUUAGUUGUAACAUGUGGGAGUGAUAAUACUGCUUUGGAGGAAAGUAAUGAAACCAGUAGUCUAAGCACUAACUUAAGUACAACUUCUUAUUCCAGUAAUGAAGGAAAUCAGUCUGUUGUUUCUAAUACAAACGAUAUAUCACCAGAAAUACCAAAUGGCGACGAUAUUGAUGAGAUUGAUAUAUUACCUGUGGACAUAUGUGGUGCACUCGUAAGUAUGCAUUAUCAAGGUUAUUCGAAUGGUUUUCCGCCAGAUUCUAUGUUAGAUAGUGAAACAGACGAUGAUCAACAUCAAGCAAACUACAAUAAUUUGUUAGGAGUUCUACAAGUUAAUUUGGAGCUUACAGAUGACGAUUACAAUUCACCAGAAUAUUUCCAUAGUUUGCAUUCGAUUAUAUUAGGUCAAGAAAACUUUAUACAUGGUGUUUCAAAUGAUGGAAGUAAUGGAAAUGGAGAAAAUAAUGUGGAUAAUGUUCAAAGUGAUCUAGAUAGUGAAACUGGAGAAAGCAACGUGCAUAAUGUUUCAAAUGAAUAAGCUAGUAAGAUUUCAAAGUAAAAGUGAAG
rnacentral:lncRNA from 1 species